UACGUAGGUGGCAAGCGUUGUCCGGAAUUAUUGGGCGUAAAGCGCGCGCAGGUGGUUUCUUAAGUCUGAUGUGAAAGCCCACGGGCUCAACCGUGGAGGGUCAUUGGAAACUGGGGAACUUGAGUGCAGGAGAGAAGAGUGGAAUUCCACGUGUAGCGGGUGAAAUGCGUAGAGAAUGUGGAGGAACACCAGUGGCGAGGCGACUUACUGGACAACAUAUUGACGCUGAGGUGCGAAAGCGUGGGGAGCAAACAGG
rnacentral:rRNA from 1 species